AGAAAAAGAAAGAUUUUACCUUUUGUCGGGUUUCAACAUCGACAGAUACACAAAACACACCUCGUCGUCUCCGGCAUCUCCAUCUCCGACUCUCUAUGUUCUCUCACGACCGGAUUUGUCUCCACCAGCUUCUUCUGCGUCUCUGUGUUAAACCCAAAUUAAUUUCGUCUCAGUCACAUCCGGCUCCGUCUUUAUCUCUGUGUUUCUGGGACAAACCCAAAUCGAUUUCGUCUCAGUCACGUCCGGCUUCAGUUGCAACUUACUCUAAUUUUUGCACAGCACAUUGCAGACUGCUCUAGAUUGUUCCCAGAUAUGACUCAUCACGCUUCUCAAUCUCUCUUUGGUAGAUGCAACACGAAACUGAGACUUCAGUCUCAGCAGGCCGAUGCUAAGCUUGAUUCUUAUAAGCAGGCAGGUAACCGUUUGUCUCCGGUCACAUUCUAUGCAAUCUUGGAGGGUUUUGAUGACACGGAGAAGAUUUAAGCGGACACUUAUGUUUGGGUCGGUAAAGAUGAUCGUAGCAUCUAUGCCAAUGGGACUUCAAGGUUUGCUUUAUAUAUUGCUAAAGGAUGAUAAAUGUUUUUUAAACCAUUUCAUAUCAGUGGAUCUCGAGAUUCUAUGUGUGUGUAGGAAUGGAGAUUGCUUAAUGCGGAAGUGUCUGCAUUAGAACAUAAGUUUCUCUCCAAUUGGAAGAUGCCUUGGGGGUCAAGGAAGGUGGUGUUUCCCAGAAAAGCAGAGUAAUAAUGAAAGUCUACAAAAAGUGUGUGGUUAGUAUAAUUUUACUACAGUGGGAGUCUAGCUCCAACAGUCUUGAAUUGUUAAAUUAAUUGUUCUGAUUUGGUAGGCUCAUUCUUUUUCUUUAAUAUUUGUGCAACUUUAAACUAG